UACGGGGGGGGCAAGCGUUGUUCGGAAUUACUGGGCGUAAAGGGCUCGUAGGUGGCCAACUAAGUCGGACGUGAAAUCCCUCAGCUUAACUGGGGAACUGCGUCCGAUACUGGAUGGCUUGAGUUUGGGAGAGGGAUGCGGAAUUCCAGGUGUAGCGGUGAAAUGCGUAGAUAUCUGGAGGAACACCGGUGGCGAAGGCGGCCUCCUGGACCAACACUGACACUGAGGAGCGAAAGCCAGGGGAGCAAACGGG
rnacentral:rRNA from 1 species